rnacentral:rRNA from 1 species
AUGUGGUCGCUGCCGCCUCUGCCGGAGCAGCGAACGUUGUGCUUGUCGCUAGACCAGCGGGUGCUGGGUGAGCCGCAUCGCUUGACUGGGUCAACUCCAAUGGCCACGGCGUCGGAGGCGAUGCGGCGCCGGACGAUCGGCCCGUGUGGCGGGCGGCGGUGCUCGCAGUGGCAAAGGACAUGCGUGUGCAAGCCCCCCCUCCCCUUGCCCCGGGUCUGGCACUCUCCCACGAGGCCACGACCCCCUCCCCUCCUCCUCGUCGUGCCUCGAUCUGGCCAGAUCCAUCCAAUCCACACACGGAUCUGGCCUAACCAUCCUGCGGCUGCGGCGGCAGGUCACCAGGACGGCGGUGGGAACAGACCUCGACGGCGGCGGGUACCUAGAAUCGUUGUUGCACCAGCCGCGCGCGUCACAACGGAGGGCGGGGCUUGA